UACGUAGGCAGCAAGCGUUGUUCGGAUUUACUGGGCGUAAAGGGUGUGUAGGCGGUUGCUUAAGUUUGGUGUGAAAUCUCCCGGCUUAACUGGGAGGGUGCGCCGAAUACUGAGUGACUCGAGUGCGGGAGAGGAGAGUGGAAUUCCUGGUGUAGCGGUGAAAUGCGUAGAUAUCAGGAGGAACACCGGUGGUGUAGACGGCUCUCUGGACCGUAACUGACGCUGAGACACGAAAGCGUGGGUAGCAAACAGG
rnacentral:rRNA from 1 species